rnacentral:rRNA from 1 species
GUCUGCGGCCAUGCCACCCUGAACACACCCGAUCUCGUCUUAUCUUGGAAGCUAAGCAGGGUAGGCCUAAUUAGUACUUGGAUGGGAGACCUCCUAGGAAGACCGGGUGCUGUAGGCA